AGAGUUUGAUCAUGGCUCAGGAUGAACGCUAGCGGCAGGCCUAAUACAUGCAAGUCGAACGGGAGUAGCAAUACUCUAGUGGCGCACGGGUGCGUAACGCGUAUGCAACCUACCUUUCAGUGGGGGAUAGCCCGGGGAAACCCGGAUUAAUACCGCAUAAGAUAAUUGGAUGGCAUCAUUUAAUUAUGAAACAUUUAUGGCUGAAAAGAUGGGCAUGCGUUAGAUUAGCUAGUUGGUGAGGUAGAAGCUCACCCAAGGCGAUGAUCUAUAGGGGUUCUGAGAGGAAGAUCCCCCCACACUGGUACUGAGAUACGGNNCCAGACUCCUACGGGAGGCAGCAGUAGGGAAUAUUGGGCAAUGGAGGCAACUCUGACCCAGCCAUGCCGCGUGCAGGAAGAAGGCCUUCUGGGUUGUAAACUGCUUUUGGAAGGGAACAAAAUGGGCAUGCGUGCCAACUUGAGUGUACCUUCAGAAUAAGCACCGGCUAACUCCGUGCCAGCAGCCGCGGUAAUACGGAGGGUGCAAGCGUUGUCCGGAUUUAUUGGGUUUAAAGGGUGCGUAGGCGGCUUAUUAAGUCAGGGGUGAAAGACUGCAGCUCAACUGUAGCAGUGCCUUUGAUACUGAUGAGCUUGAGUACAGAUGAGGCAGGCGGAAUGGGUGGUGUAGCGGUGAAAUGCAUAGAUACCAUCCAGAACACCGAUUGCGAAGGCAGCCUGCUAAACUGUAACUGACGCUGAGGCACGAAAGCGUGGGGAUCGAACAGGAUUAGAUACCCUAGUAGUCC
rnacentral:rRNA from 1 species